rnacentral:misc_RNA from 1 species
GACUAUCAAACUCCAGUGGAGACUGAAGUUGACUGGAAUAAAAAUGAAAUCCUUUCUAAAAAGAUUAACUUUUGUGGUCCAUCUACGAACUCGCAAGAAAGCAGCUCUACCUUCACAAGCUUUAGAAGGAUCUCUAUCCAGAUCAGCAAGCUUUCUAAAGAAAAAGCUAUUGAAAAAAUGGAACCUGUCUUUUUCCUCCAGAUUCAUUUUGUUCUUCAGAUACUUAUGGAAACAGCAUCGGGAU